GCUGGGGGCUACAGAGACUGAGAUAGAAGAGCCACACCUUACCGGCAACUGGGGCACUGACUUCACUUCCCACCUUUGGAGCCCUCUUCAACUCCCGGAUCAAUUCACUCCGGCGACGCCGGAAGGACCCGAGAGGAACCAGGCGUUGUCCGGAAUCCUGCCCAGCCGGAGUCGCGCAGGGGCCUAUGGGGACUCGUAGUCCCACUCGCCAGCUUCGUCGGCGAUUUCUACAAAAGCAAGACUACAAUUCCCGGCAGGCCAUGCGGUAGAGCCUAAGGCGAUGGGUGGGGACACUUCUAGCCAAUAACAAGAGAGUUCUCUGCUUUGCGGGAGGAGGUGAGACAGAGAGAGAGGGUGUUCAAAAGGAGGAGGAAGGGAGGGGUCAGCUCUCACCUGCACCAAUCAGGGUGCCGGGUCGGCCCUGCAGGCGACUCACCCAUUGUGGGGGCGGGCUAGCAGAGCAGAGGAAGUAAGGGGGUUGUGGGGAGAGCUUGAGGCGGGUAACGUGGGGCGGCAGAGCUGUGGCCGCUGCACCAGAGGGCGGAAGCACCGGGGAAAUCGCUGGCGUAGAGAGAGGGAGCGGUGUGUGGAUGCGUCCUGGCCGGAGGAGCAGCUUCCCUGAAAGUGGACAAGCCCCAGGCACACCAGGCGGCCAGACCUGAGGGUCGUCAGGAAGGGAUAGUGUGAGCCUGGGUUUCUGGAGGCGGCGCGCGGGCGGGGUAGGAGGCAGCUGCAGGUGUGAGGCCACUGACUGAGAAGAGAGGAGUUCCCAGGGGAAGGGAAGCGGCAGGAACAACUGCAGAAGUGGAGGGAGCGGGAAGGUACUAGGGCAGAGCUUCCCGCCGCCACCAGCCGGGGCCGCAGCAGGAACAGCAGGGGGAGGAGCAACAGCUGCCGAAUUCUCCAACUAGAGGAGGGGGAGGCGGAGCUUGGGUCCCUGUAGCAGCCGGAGGCGCAGUCUGGACUCUAGUUUCCCGGGAGAGACGAGAGCUGGAGCACGAGCGGAGCGGAGCGCGUCCUCCGAGCAUCAGCUCCAGCAUCCCGCCAGGGGUUGCAGGUGUGUGGGAGUCUUCUAAUGUUUCCAAAAUCCAGUCCUUAAAGUUGGGUAAGUGUAUUUUAAGUAACUAAAUUAUUGGCUCCUGGAAACGACAUACUUCUUUCCUAUCUCCUGCUUGUGCUGAGCAUCCUGUGUCACGCUCAGCAUGAAGUGGCCCUAGGACCGCUUACUGAAUUAGAACUACUGACUGAGACUUUUUUAAUAUACACAUUGAGACAUUUUGCAUUUUGACAGACAAGAGUUAAGUUGACCUUAGAAUAAUUACUAUGCAUUAGGCUUUCUGAGAAUGUCUUCGUGCUGAUUGGCCUUUGCAAAAGUGUCCAUUGGGCCCAAUUUCAUUUAGAUGGUGUGGGCUACGAAGACUGAUCUACAGUUUUCUGUGCCAACAUUUCUAAAUUCAUUCCAGAAAUAGGGAAUAUGGAUGAGGGGAAAGGGCUCUCCCACUGGUGUCAAACAAGGUCUGCAUUUUCCAGCCAGGGAAACCUAUGGCUCAACAUCAUUUUACCUAAAUAAGAUACCUUUGUUGAAGCUUACUCAUGAAACAUAUAUUUCAUUCCAUAAAAGCUAAAUUUGUUCUUUCUAUUUUUCUGAUCAUUUCUUAAAAGAAAAAAAAAAAGACAAACAAGAAGAAAGGAAGUAGAAAUGUGUUUAAGCUUGGGCAUUUAUUGUCUUUUGCAUUCAACCUUCCAGAAUCAAAUUAAUCUGAUUAGUGUUAGCAUGAAGAAUUCAAAUAUAAUUUUUUUUUCAUUAUUAUAAGACCUGGAGGAUUUGAGUUAAUUAUAGAUAGUUUUUUAGUAGUAAAUAAUAAUAGCAGAUAUUUAACUGCCUUUUCUUUGCUUUUUAACGUCUUUCCAGCAUGCAAAUAGAUACAGAGUGGCUUAGAAUUGGUAAUUGAUUAACCUUCCUUCUUCAUGUUCUUUGGCAUUACUCUUCAUGCUUAGCAUUGUGUCUUGUAUUAGAGUUAGCUGAAUUCAUAACUGUCUUCCUCACCAGAUGCUUAGUGACUUCAGAACUGAGUUUCGUGUACCUUUCUAUUUAAGAGCCUUAUAUAAAGUCUAUACUUGGUAACAA
ensembl:lncRNA